SUCUCCGUAGCUUAAAACAAAGCAUGACACUGAAGAUGUCAAGAUGGCUACUCAANANACCCGAAGACA
rnacentral:tRNA from 1 species